UUAAGUUAUUAAGGGCGCACGGUGGAUGCCUUGGCACUAGAAGCCGAUGAAGGACGUUACUAACGACGAUAUGCUUUGGGGAGCUGUAAGUAAGCUUUGAUCCAGAGAUUUCCGAAUGGGGAAACCCAGCAUGAGUUAUGUCAUGUUAUCGAUAUGUGAAUACAUAGCAUAUCAGAAGGCACACCCGGAGAACUGAAACAUCUUAGUACCCGGAGGAAGAGAAAGAAAAUUCGAUUCCCUUAGUAGCGGCGAGCGAAACGGGAAGAGCCCAAACCAACAAGCUUGCUUGUUGGGGUUGUAGGACACUCUAUACGGAGUUACAAAGGACGACAUUAGACGAAUCAUCUGGAAAGAUGAAUCAAAGAAGGUAAUAAUCCUGUAGUCGAAAAUGUUGUCUCUCUUGAGUGGAUCCUGAGUACGACGGAGCACGUGAAAUUCCGUCGGAAUCUGGGAGGACCAUCUCCUAAGGCUAAAUACUCUCUAGUGACCGAUAGUGAACCAGUACCGUGAGGGAAAGGUGAAAAGCACCCCGGAAGGGGAGUGAAAUAGAACCUGAAACCGUGUGCUUACAAGUAGUCAGAGCCCGUUAAUGGGUGAUGGCGUGCCUUUUGUAGAAUGAACCGGCGAGUUACGAUUUGAUGCAAGGUUAAGCAGUAAAUGUGGAGCCGUAGCGAAAGCGAGUCUGAAUAGGGCGUUUAGUAUUUGGUCGUAGACCCGAAACCAGGUGAUCUACCCUUGGUCAGGUUGAAGUUCAGGUAACACUGAAUGGAGGACCGAACCGACUUACGUUGAAAAGUGAGCGGAUGAACUGAGGGUAGCGGAGAAAUUCCAAUCGAACCUGGAGAUAGCUGGUUCUCUCCGAAAUAGCUUUAGGGCUAGCCUCAAGUGAUGAUUAUUGGAGGUAGAGCACUGUUUGGACGAGGGGCCCCUCUCGGGUUACCGAAUUCAGACAAACUCCGAAUGCCAAUUAAUUUAACUUGGGAGUCAGAACAUGGGUGAUAAGGUCCGUGUUCGAAAGGGAAACAGCCCAGACCACCAGCUAAGGUCCCAAAAUAUAUGUUAAGUGGAAAAGGAUGUGGCGUUGCCCAGACAACUAGGAUGUUGGCUUAGAAGCAGCCAUCAUUUAAAGAGUGCGUAAUAGCUCACUAGUCGAGUGACACUGCGCCGAAAAUGUACCGGGGCUAAACAUAUUACCGAAGCUGUGGAUUGUCCUUUGGACAAUGGUAGGAGAGCGUUCUAAGGGCGUUGAAGCAUGAUCGUAAGGACAUGUGGAGCGCUUAGAAGUGAGAAUGCCGGUGUGAGUAGCGAAAGACGGGUGAGAAUCCCGUCCACCGAUUGACUAAGGUUUCCAGAGGAAGGCUCGUCCGCUCUGGGUUAGUCGGGUCCUAAGCUGAGGCCGACAGGCGUAGGCGAUGGAUAACAGGUUGAUAUUCCUGUACCACCUAUAAUCGUUUUAAUCGAUGGGGGGACGCAGUAGGAUAGGCGAAGCGUGCGAUUGGAUUGCACGUCUAAGCAGUAAGGCUGAGUAUUAGGCAAAUCCGGUACUCGUUAAGGCUGAGCUGUGAUGGGGAGAAGACAUUGUGUCUUCGAGUCGUUGAUUUCACACUGCCGAGAAAAGCCUCUAGAUAGAAAAUAGGUGCCCGUACCGCAAACCGACACAGGUAGUCAAGAUGAGAAUUCUAAGGUGAGCGAGCGAACUCUCGUUAAGGAACUCGGCAAAAUGACCCCGUAACUUCGGGAGAAGGGGUGCUCUUUAGGGUUAACGCCCAGAAGAGCCGCAGUGAAUAGGCCCAAGCGACUGUUUAUCAAAAACACAGGUCUCUGCUAAACCGUAAGGUGAUGUAUAGGGGCUGACGCCUGCCCGGUGCUGGAAGGUUAAGAGGAGUGGUUAGCUUCUGCGAAGCUACGAAUCGAAGCCCCAGUAAACGGCGGCCGUAACUAUAACGGUCCUAAGGUAGCGAAAUUCCUUGUCGGGUAAGUUCCGACCCGCACGAAAGGCGUAACGAUUUGGGCACUGUCUCAACGAGAGACUCGGUGAAAUCAUAGUACCUGUGAAGAUGCAGGUUACCCGCGACAGGACGGAAAGACCCCGUGGAGCUUUACUGUAGCCUGAUAUUGAAAUUCGGCACAGCUUGUACAGGAUAGGUAGGAGCCUUUGAAACGUGAGCGCUAGCUUACGUGGAGGCGCUGGUGGGAUACUACCCUAGCUGUGUUGGCUUUCUAACCCGCACCACUUAUCGUGGUGGGAGACAGUGUCAGGCGGGCAGUUUGACUGGGGCGGUCGCCUCCUAAAAGGUAACGGAGGCGCUCAAAGGUUCCCUCAGAAUGGUUGGAAAUCAUUCAUAGAGUGUAAAGGCAUAAGGGAGCUUGACUGCGAGACCUACAAGUCGAGCAGGGUCGAAAGACGGACUUAGUGAUCCGGUGGUUCCGCAUGGAAGGGCCAUCGCUCAACGGAUAAAAGCUACCCCGGGGAUAACAGGCUUAUCUCCCCCAAGAGUUCACAUCGACGGGGAGGUUUGGCACCUCGAUGUCGGCUCAUCGCAUCCUGGGGCUGUAGUCGGUCCCAAGGGUUGGGCUGUUCGCCCAUUAAAGCGGUACGCGAGCUGGGUUCAGAACGUCGUGAGACAGUUCGGUCCCUAUCCGUCGUGGACGUAGGAAAUUUGAGAGGAGCUGUCCUUAGUACGAGAGGACCGGGAUGGACAUACCUCUGGUGUACCAGUUGUCGUGCCAACGGCAUAGCUGGGUAGCUAUGUGUGGACGGGAUAAGUGCUGAAAGCAUCUAAGCAUGAAGCCCCCCUCAAGAUGAGAUUUCCCAACUUCGGUUAUAAGAUCCCUCAAAGAUGAUGAGGUUAAUAGGUUCGAGGUGGAAGCAUGGUGACAUGUGGAGCUGACGAAUACUAAUCGAUCGAAGACUUAAUCAA
rnacentral:rRNA from 1 species